UCCUCCUUAGCUCAGCAGGUUAGAGCGAGCGGCUGUUAACCGCUAGGUCGUCUGUUCAAAUCAGACAGGGGGAGCCA
rnacentral:tRNA from 1 species